rnacentral:lncRNA from 1 species
UUGUUAUCAUUUACUUCUAAAAUUAGUACAUUAAUUACAUUUAAAUUUCAAAUUUCAAAAAUCUUGUGCAUUAUUAUUGGAAUUUAAUUAAAUACUUAAAUAUAUUAGAACUAAUUAAAUUUCAAAAACCCAUUUAUCAACCAAUACUCCAUAAUCUUUUGAUGACCAUCAUGCUAUCAAACCAGAAAAGUUUAAUUGCUCAUUCUUUAGGAGAUGGUAGAGCCAAGUGAGAUACUGGCUUACCGCUCUAAUAUUGAUCUCAACCUAUGGAAUUACUUGAUCCUAACUCUCUUAUGGUUCAACCUCCCAACCAGCUUCUACACUUAAUCCCUAGGAAACAAGGAUCCUGUAGUUCCCAAACAAAAAACCCUGAAGAAAUAGACUUCCAUUGUUACUAUAGGAUCCUUAGUGAUCUAUUUGAUUCCCUUUAUGAUGUCUACCUUCCCACCAAGAUAGCUAAGGAACUAUGGGUUAUCAUAAAAGAUGAGUACAAGAUGGAUGAUGCUAUAGUUUCACCAUAUCCAAGUUCUAUAAGUAUGCCAUUAUGGAAUUCAAAUCUAUUAGUAUCUAGAUCCACGAAUUAUUAGAUUUCCUUAGAAAACUUGAAUUGACCGGAUGAAAAUAUUUUAAGAGCUAUAAGUUUUAAGCUUUGACUAACAUCCUCCUUCGAUCCUAGUCAAAUUUCUCAUGAGAGCUAAGUUAUAGGUAAGGUUGAUUUAACCAUAAUGAAGGUUAUUAGUUUUUUUAGAAUUGAAGGAGAGUAUCGACUGAAGCUCAAGUAUAAACAAUACUCUGGAUCUAAGAUCAAACCAACUCAAACAC